CGGUUUAGCUCAGCUGGUAGAGCAGCGGUUUUGUAAACCGAAGGUCGCGGGUUCGAUCCCUGCAACCGG
rnacentral:tRNA from 1 species